rnacentral:misc_RNA from 1 species
ACGAACGAGGUCGGUGCAGCGAUUGCGCAGGCUCAGCCAGYGYCUCGGURAACGACAAGAACCCAGAGGGUUCCCACGAGUGCAGCCGAGGUGCGAGCGUAUUUCUCGUAGUCGCGGACCAGCGGCGGUUGGGCCCGGGGCAGAAGGAAUCCAGGAAGGUGCGCAGGCCGGACCCCGUUCGGCAGGCUACUUACAGACUGGGAGCUCCGGUGCCCGGGUCCGACCGAGGUAGGUGGGCAGCCCUUGCCCGUCGGGUGCACGCCGUAGGGCGGAGACCAAUUUCGAAAGAGAGCGGUCACCAGU